GCCCGCCUAGCUCAAUCGGAUAGAGCGUCAGACUCUUAGGUGGGUGUUGGUUGCGCCUCUACUGUAAUCUGAAGGCUGCGAGUUCGACCCUCGCGGUGGGCU